UAACCCGUAUCGUUUCAUCCCUAUUCGCAAGAUGUCGAUCGAUUGGGUGCUGCGGUCGAUUUUUCAAUCUAAUUUAAUUCGGCAUACUAAUCCCUAAACUAAAUUUAACGUUUAAUAUUAAGAAGUUAAAUAAAGAAGCAACUGACUGAUUUGGAAUAAAUUGGUACGCGAGCAUCACCUUUAAAAAGGAUAGUCGGCUUUGAAGCGCGUGAAAUAAAAGGAUUUGGGCGCAGCUCCAAUCCCAAAAGUGGGAAAAUCGGUGUCGAUUUGAUUGUGUUACAGAAAAGGGCGUCGAAAACUGUUCGUCAAAACUCAAAAAUUCGCAAAUGUUAGUGCAUAACUAUAUAACAAAAACUAAACGCGUACUUCUUUUUAAAGAUUAAUUUAUAGUGGAAUUUCGGUCGAAUGUACACAAUGCAGUUCGAAUAAUGUGAUAAUACAUACAUAUGUGCAUACAUAUAAAACGAAAAUAAAUUGCAAGAUGGAAAUGGUUGUCGAAGAGCCCGAUAACAAUUUCGGCUUCCCUGAAGCAGGGACAUGGAACAAUACGAGCCAUAUACCUUUGGAAAAUAUGAAAAUUGAUGCGCCGAUG